rnacentral:rRNA from 1 species
AGCAGCCGCGGUAAUUCCAGCUCCAAUAGCGUAUAUUAAAGUUGUUGCAGUUAAAAAGCUCGUAGUUGAAUUUCGAGAUCAGUACGCUGGUCGUGCCUUCGGUAUGCACUGGUGUCACUGGUUUCUCCCUUCUGAAGAACCGUCAUGUCAUUAAGUUGGUGUGGCGGGGAAUCAGGACUGUUACUUUGAAAAAAUUAGAGUGUUUAAAGCAGGCUCGCGCUUGAAUACAUUAGCAUGGAAUAAUGAAAUAGGACGUUUGACCCUAUUUUGUUGGUUUCUAGGAUCGACGUAAUGAUUAAUAGGGAUAGUUGGG